UUCCUACCCAAGUGGCCUCCAGCUGU
rnacentral:piRNA from 1 species